rfam:Cucumis sativus cultivar 9930 chromosome 3, whole genome shotgun sequence.
GAUGCAGAGGAUGAGGAAAUUAACUGCAACAAAAUGAUCGAUGUAUUUCGUGAUUACUUUAAUAUUUAAAUCUCUGAUGCUU